GGAACUGGAGCCCCAGUGUGGUUCGUGGUACCCCCCCACCCUCCCUCAGCUGGAGGGCAGCGUUACCCCACCCCCACAUGGCAUCUGGUGCAGGGAUUAGGGGUUUGCAUCCUUCCUCUCAAGCACACCCCCAACCAGAGCCUGGCUGCCGCCCUCCCUGGAAAGACACCUGCCUCCCUCCAGACCCAUCCUCGGAGCCCAGCCUCAGGAAGUGCCGAGAGGAAUUUUCGAUGCAAAAACCCUCCCGAGGCGGGUGAGGAAAAAUCGGCGUCCCUACAUCCCAGCCAGAAACAAAAGCCCU